rnacentral:rRNA from 1 species
CCUACGGGUGGCAGCAGUGGGGAAUAUUGGACAAUGGGCGAAAGCCUGAUCCAGCAAUGCCGCGUGUGUGAAGAAGGUCUUAGGGUUGUAAAGCUCUUUCACCGGUGAAGAUAAUGACGGUAACCGGAGAAGAAGCCCCGGCUAACUUCGUGCCAGCAGCCGCGGUAAUACGAAGGGGGCUAGCGUUGUUCGGAAUUACUGGGCGUAAAGCGCGCGUAGGCGGAUAGAUAAGUCAGAGGUGAAAUCCCGGGGCUCAACCCCGGAAUUGCCUUUGAUACUGUUUAUCUUGAGUGCAGAAGAGGUAAGUGGAAUUCCGAGUGUAGAGGUGAAAUUCGUAGAUAUUCGGAAGAACACCAGUGGCGAAGGCGGCUCACUGGACUGGUAUUGACGCUGAGGUGCGAAAGCGUGGGGAGCAAACAGGAUUAGAUACCCGUGUAGUC